rnacentral:rRNA from 1 species
GGCGGGACACGUGGUAUCCUGUCUGAAUAUGGGGGGACCAUCCUCCAAGGCUAAAUACUCCUGACUGACCGAUAGUGAACCAGUACCGUGAGGGAAAGGCGAAAAGAACCCCGGCGAGGGGAGUGAAAAAGAACCUGAAACCGUGUACGUACAAGCAGUGGGAGCCUCUUAAUGGGGUGACUGCGUACCUUUUGUAUAAUGGGUCAGCGACUUAUAUUCUGUAGCAAGGUUAACCGAAUAGGGGAGCCGAAGGGAAACCGAGUCUUAACUGGGCGUUAAGUUGCAGGGUAUAGACCCGAAACCCGGUGAUCUAGCCAUGGGCAGGUUGAAGGUUGGGUAACACUAACUGGAGGACCGAACCGACUAAUGUUGAAAAAUUAGCGGAUGACUUGUGGCUGGGGGUGAAAGGCCAAUCAAACCGGGAGAUAGCUGGUUCUCCCCGAAAGCUAUUUAGGUAGCGCCUCGUGAAUUCAUCUCCGGGGGUAGAGCACUGUUUCGGCAAGGGGGUCAUCCCGACUUACCAACCCGAUGCAAACUGCGAAUACCGGAGAAUGUUAUCACGGGAGACACACGGCGGGUGCUAACGUCCGUCGUGAAGAGGGAAACAACCCAGACCGCCAGCUAAGGUCCCAAAGUCAUGGUUAAGUGGGAAACGAUGUGGGAAGGCCCAGACAGCCAGGAUGUUGGCUUAGAAGCAGCCAUCAUUUAAAGAAAGCGUAAUAGCUCACUGGUCGAGUCGGCCUGCGCGGAAGAUGUAACGGGGCUAAACCAUG